GGGGGUAUAGCUCAGUUGGUAGAGUGCCUGCUUUGCACGCAGGAUGUCAGCGGUUCGAGUCCGCUUACCUCCA
rfam:Cyanothece sp. PCC 7425, complete genome.